CCACUUAUGAGCCUUUAGACAGUCCUAUUUUAUGUGAGAUUACUUCACUGUUGACUGCAAACACCUUUUGGUUCUCUCAGAUACUUUGCUUCAAAUACCUGUCUCGCGAGUUCACGACGUGGGUAAAUUUGACAGUAGUCUUCAGGCAUGGGCUCUCCUCAAUCCGGACCAUCUCACCACUGGCAUCUGUAGCAGUACCAAGUGCAAGU
rnacentral:lncRNA from 1 species